UUCCCAGCUCUGCCUAGACUGUCCGGGUCCGGCCUGGCGCCCGUCUCCUGAGUGGGUUGCCAUGGGAAACGGGAGCCCCUCCCCCCUCCGUCUCAGCGCUACGGAGGGGCGAAAAGAGUGCCGGACUUUGGACCAUGCACAUAAUGAGAUGGACGGAAAAAUGCCAGACACUGUAGUAAAUACUUGGGGUCCAAAUCCUCAAAAAAGAAACUCAAUCCGUGACCUCAAGGGGAGUGGUGACUAAGGAAGAAGAUUUUGUUGCGGAAAAGUCACAGCCGGGAGAGUUAGUCCUUCCAUAAGGUGGUUGACUAGCCGACCCUUUCCGGAAGCAAUGUGAAUAAAUAUUUGUAGAAUUAAUUGAA